UUGAAAGGGAAACGAUUGAAGUCAGUCGUACCCGAUGGACAAUCAGCCUUUUGAGUGCGAUUCUGUGGGGCAUGAGGAGGAAACCCUCAUGUUUUGCAUAUUUGUGCUCCUUGGGUGUAUUUGUUCGUAUGGUGGGUUAACAUCAAUUUUGGUCGUCAUAAAAUGACGGGAGGAAUGUAGCUUUGGUCUCGUAUUGAAGUGUUAUAGCCUCUGGUAGAUGUGACGACCGGGAUUGAGGAUUGCAACGGAUACCUCUCGGGGCUACUCGCCUGAUCUCUGAUCGUUACUCUGGUGCCGAAAGCUUGCUUAUGCCAUCAAAGUUGAUGGUCAAAAGGUUAGAACGGGUUAAAUUCGUUAAGGAUGUUGACGUA
rnacentral:rRNA from 1 species